rnacentral:rRNA from 1 species
UGAGUAACCUGCCCUUAACUCUGGGAUAAGCCUGGGAAACUGGGUCUAAUACCGGAUAUGACUCCUCAUCGCAUGGUGGGGGGUGGAAAGCUUUUUGUGGUUUUGGAUGGACUCGCGGCCUAUCAGCUUGUUGGUGGGGUAACGGCCCACCAAGGCUUCGACGGGUAGCUGGU